GAUACUGCAAUACAGAGUUGAGCUGGUAGAAGCAAUUGAAGGAAGCGAAGAUGCAGUUUCUGUUGUAGUUUCUGCUGUAGUUUCUGCUGUGGUGGUGGGUUAUGGAAUGGUUGGAGCUCAAUCUGAGCUGGUAAUUGCAGAUGCCAUGCGUUUAAUUGGUAGGAGAUUCAGUGACACCACUGUCCCUGCCUACUACAACGAUUCUCAGCGUCAAGCUGCAAAGGAUGUUGGAGCCAUUGCUGGUCUAUGGUCGCCACCAGUGUUGGGGAGAAGAAUGUUUUUAUCUUAGAUCUUGAAGGUGGUACCUUUGAUGUCUCUCUUCUUACUAUUGAGGAGGGUAUCUUUGAAGUUAAAUCUACAGCAGGAGACACUAAUCUUGUUGGUGAGGACUUCGACAACAGAAUGGUGAACCACUUUGUUCAGGAAUUCAAGAGAAAGAACAAGAAGGAUAUCAGUGGAAGCCCCAGGGAUCUUAGAAGAUUGAAAACACCUAGUGAAAGAGCAAAGCGGAUUCCAUCAUCCACUGCCCAGACUACCGUUGAAAUUGACUAUCAUCUAAGGGCUUCUGAAUAUGAGUAGAAGAUUACCAGUACACUGAGAAAAGAGACCAGG